GGGCCGCUGGUCUAGUGGUAUGAUUCUCGCUUAGGGCUCCUAACCCUAGCAUUUCUUGCGAGAGGUCCCGGGUUCAAUCCCCGGGUGGCCCC